ensembl:lncRNA
UUUAAAAAAUGUUUAUUUUUGUUGAAUAAAAUCAUGUUCAACAUCCAAAUACUGACAGGAAGAUGCAACUUUUCAAUUAUUGAACAUAUUAAGGAGUGCUCCAGCUGAAUUCUCCAGUCUUUUCCCCCCUCACACAAUUCUGAUUCUCUAAGUCACUAAAUUGUCUUCAGUAAAACUGUAGCCUUUCCUUUGGAGUUUACUGUCAAAAUACUAUUAUCUUCUAAUCCUUUAACAAUUUCUAAGCAAACAAUAACCUCCCAUAGCCUGACAGACAAUACCAGGAUGUGUCUGCUGAAUACUUUUAUUUUACUUUCAGAACUGAAAGAGCACCUCUUUCCUAGCAUUAACCUCAGUGCCGAUACAUGGGCAUGCAAACUAAAAACUUCCUUAUUUUAAAAUAGACUAGAAUCUAAGAAAUUAGUAUUUGUUUAAUACAUAGUUCAGUUUUAGAUCCCAAAGGAGUCAGGGCAUGAUGAAUAAAAGUUAAACUUUUAAUUAUAAUACAUGAGAGGCAGCACGGUGUAGUGGAUAGAAAGCUGGCCUUAAAGCCGGGAAGACCUGGAUUCAAGUCCUACCUCCAAUUCAUAUUGGCUCUAAGCAAGUCACUUUACUUCUUAAGUGUUUCAAGCACCUUGCUAAGACCACAAGGUGUAGAAAAGGUGCUAACUUGUAUUGGUGGAGGGAGUUUCCUUGGCUGAAAGCUCCUUAUACCAAUGCCAUCCCAGGUCCAAUCCCUAUCCCGUCACAUACAUACAUACAAAUAUACAAGUGUAUAGAUAUAUGCGUAUAGUUAUACAUUACACACACGCACGCAUGUGUUGAUUUUCGAAUGCCUUAUUUUAACUUGUAUAGUUUGUAUUUCGAAGCAGAGACUGGAGUAAUAUUCCAAAAACUCCUAGAAAUUAAGACCAAACAGCUUUCAUUAAAACUUGAAGCUAUCAUAAUACAAAAAUGGAGAUCCAACAACUCAAAUCUAUUACACCCACAUCUUUGUACACUUUAACCCUCUGAAUGAACACCCGAUUUUGCCAAUGCAGCUAAAUCUGGCAUUCUGGCUGACUGCAGCAAAUUUCUAUUGGGGAUUGCUUUCUCUGAAGAAAUUCCUUGACAUUUUAAGGUUUUCAUUCAUCAAAAACUGAGAUAUUUUGUCUAAUUUAAGAUAUCAAACUGCAAAGUCAUCCUAUGCUGUACAAACCAGACUAAAACGUAAAUGAGGAAAUGAUUAACAAAACAGAAAACCAUAAAUUACUAUUACUUGUGUUGUAUAAGUCACUGUGCAUUUGGCAGAGAUCAGUUUCUAUUGGAGUUUGCCACCACUGGUCUACCAUUUAGAAUCAUCUAGCUGGUUUUCAUUUUUCACAUUUCUCAUCAUAUGGACAAAAUUUACAUUUUACAACUAAAAUGCAUAUAUACUAUCAAACUAUCAAAUAGCUUACAUAACACAGAGGAGAGCUACCUUUUUAGCCACAUGGCAAGAAUGUGUCAAGUCAUAAAAUCUAUUUUCUAGAAACAAUUACAUUUCCAGAAGAUACAUUCACCAAAGUUGAGAUUAAAAAUCACCAUUUACUUAAGUAAAUUCUGCCUACCUUGAUAUUCUCUGAUUCUAAUUUGAUAAGGUAGCCUUCUCUUCCCAUUCUAGUCAGCCAUUUAAGAGACCAUGAGGUGCACUUAGAAAGUUAUUGCAAUGGGGUAGUGAACAGACUCCAGCAGAUACUAUAUUCAUCCAUUACUCUGAAAUUUAUCAUUUUUCCUUCAGCCACUAAAAUCCCAUCAAAACUGAAUGGGUGUGGUUUCACUGUGAUUUCCUAGAUAUGAAUUAGUAACGAUAAUUUUAGAAAGUCAAUAUUAAAGCAACAGAAAUGGCAACUUUCUAGGGAGAAUUCAGAUAUAUAUAUAUAAUUUGAAAUUUCAGCUGUAUUACCUUUCUGCAUUUGCUGUUUUAGUGUAUCAAACAAGAAAUGAUAACCUCUAAUUUAAAUUAAAUAACUUUCCAUCAAAUGUCCACAAAAGAAUUAUUUCUUACAAUUUUAAAGGUAAAGUCAGGGUAACAACUACAUCUUCCAGAGGCCACCUGUCUCAGCCCACUACUGUGGAAUGCUCUUUCCUAUAGACCUUUUGAAUGCAGUAAUACUAUCUCAUUAUUAUUAGUACAUGAGACUGUCCCAAGUAAGAUCACAAAUCUAGAGCUUCAAAUGGAAUCAAUAUUAAAUGUGCUAAUUUCACUGCUAACUAAAAUUUUACAAUUUGGUACUUUAAAUCAUUUCAAGGCUCUGCUUCUUCAUCUAUGCGAUUAUUCCCUCCACUAAAAUACAUCACAACUAGUUACAAACAUUCAUCAGGAGGCCAGACUAGCCUCCUGCUCCAGCCUCCUAUACUCAGGUGCUGGUCUGCAAGUGACAGACCACUGUGCCUGGAACCUGCGCUUUGUAUCUGGACUUCACUUAAUAGCACUUUCAAAAACCUGGGGCCACCUACAUACCACAAGGAGGCACUGAAGUAGGACUUUAAAUAUUUAGUACAAAAACCAAAACUUCCUAAACUUUAAGAAAGCAUAUACAUUCCAGGUGACUCAUUUUAAAAAUUAUAAUCCAGAACAUUUUAAAACAGCAUGACAAUGAAUUUUAUAAAAAAGCCAUAUGGAAGAGGAUCACAAUUUUCAAUGAAAAGGGGAGAAAUGCUCAUUCAAAGCUAAAAAUAUGAAUGGAUGGAAUUAUUUGAAUUUAAAUUUAAAGAUCACAAUUGAAACAA